AAACAUGUAUUGUGUGAGGACACCCUUCGUCCGACCUAAUCUUGACGAUCAUCUGUAGCAGCACUUCGAAACUCCCAGGCUGUUUUCAUCAGCAAGCUUACAGCUGACCACAUGAUGGAACUCGAUAAUACUACACUGUACGAUGUACUUGAGAUUCCAAUGAAUACCCGUCGAAGCGAUGUGGUCAUCAGCAUGAAAGCAAUACAGGGCCGCCUUUAUA